AAAUCAUGGUGCGGACAUCUUUUUAAAAGCUCUCCCAAUUGCUCCUAUGCCUCAAUUAGAGAUUUUGCUUCAUUAUGCUAGAAACAACUUAUGUCUGUCAUGAGGCU